ACGGGUGCGUAACACGUGGGCAAUCUGCCCUCCGAUGGGGAAUAACCCCGCGAAAGCGGGGCUAAUACCGCAUAACAUUCCUUGAGCGACGGUUCGGGGAUUCAAAGCAGCAAUGCGUCGGAGGAGGAGCCCGCGCCCGAUUAGCUUGUUGGUGAGGUAACGGCUCACCAAGGCUAUGAUCGGUAGCUGGUCUGAGAGGAUGAUCGGCCACACUGGAACUGAGACACGGUCCAGACUCCUACGGGAGGCAGCAGUGGGGAAUCUUGCACAAUGGGCGAAAGCCUGAUGCAGCGACGCCGCGUGGGGGAUGAAGCUUUUCGGAGUGUAAACCCCUUUCGCCUGGGACGAAUGCCCGCAAGGGAGUGACGGUACCAGGAUAAGAAGCCCCGGCUAACUACGUGCCAGCAGCCGCGG
rnacentral:rRNA from 1 species